rnacentral:rRNA from 1 species
UACGUAGGGGGCUAGCGUUGUCCGGAAUCAUUGGGCGUAAAGAGCGUGUAGGCGGCCCGGUAAGUCCGCUGUGAAAGUCGGGGGCUCAACCCUCGAAUGCCGGUGGAUACUGUCGGGCUAGAGUGCGGAAGAGGAGAGUGGAAUUCCUGGUGUAGCGGUGAAAUGCGCAGAUAUCAGGAAGAACACCCGUGGCGAAGGCGGCUCUCUGGUACGUGACUGACGCUGAGACGCGAAAGCGUGGGGAGCGAACAGG